CUACAUGGAAAUGCAAAGUGAUCCUUGCUUUUCUUAACCUCUCCAAGUGGCUGAAAGGGGAGCGGUAGGGGGAGGAUGUUUAUCAGCAUGAUUCAGAUGGAGUUGCAAUGAAUUCUUUUUCUGUCUUCAUAUGUCUGGACUCCUACGUUUUAAUAGAUGUGUGUUUAGUUUCUUGAUUAGUAUUUUCCAGUGGAGCUCAUAUUAGCACUCAACUGUCAUUUGAAAAGCCAUCUUAAUUAUUUAUGUGAUUGCUUUUUCUUUUGUAUUUACGAAGAAAUACACUUUGCAUAUAUUUAGGAAAGAUGAUUAAGGGAUCAGUCAUCAGGAACAGCAAGCAAUGGUUUAUAUCAAAAUGGUUAUUGAGAAAGCAGAGAGAUGAGGGGUAAGAGAAGAGAUUUAUUAGUCAGAGCUAAUGGAAUAUGCAUGUGUUAGGGAGAGAGCGCAUGCUCGGCUGAUUGUAGCCCCACAGUCUGAUGCUGGAGAGAGUGAAGUGUUGUAAUUAUUCCAGUUUUCAAUAGAGCCGACACCAGGUCUAUCUGUCUAGUGUGAGCGAAGGCGAAUGGAACGCUGACAGUAGGAUGUCAUUUUGCAGCCUCAUUGAUAAGCAUCAGAAAUAGUGAUUUCCCUGUUAUUUUCAGAUAAGGACUACUUGGUACCAGCCAUUGUAUUAGGCACCUGGGUUUGGCACUUGGCUGUGUUUUAAUAGACACCGACACCCCGUUUUCAUGACAUGAUAUUAAGGAGUGAUGGGCUCGGAUGCUGAGUAAUAAAGUAUAAGAGCCGCUGGAGAAAUCCAUCUACUUUUUGGCUCCCACCGUCCACUCGUCCACUCGGUGACUUUAUGAUCAUGAGUGGCUUUGGUGUUUGUGGCAAUUUCUCCCAUUCUCCUUUGAUGAUAAAAGCUUAAAUCCCGUAAUUUGCCGUAACUGAUCGAAGUCCUUAGGUGCGGUGCCUUUUGCUAUGUGAUAUGUGGGUGUUGGGGGGGAGGCAGGCAGCACAUGGGCUGGGUAAUUUACAAGCCUGACGCCUGUCUAAGCUGGUGCCUUGACUUGGAAAAGACGAUUGUUAUUUAUUCACCACAUCCCAGAGUGUAAGGCCCAUCCCCGUUGUUUUGAAUGAUCUUUAGCUAAACAAAAAUAUAAAAACUAUUAAUAUUAUUAAUAGUUAGAGAUUGUUGGGAAAAGUUCAUCCUACGUCAGUUGCUGGAUUUGUUCCUCAUUUCUUUGCUUUAAAAAUUGUUUUUAUGGAUAGUAUUGGACUUGCAAUAAAUAAAGCAUGGUGUAUAAACAAGUCUGCGAACCAGCAAGAACUAUAUAAACCACUUGCUUUAAUCAACAAGCGAGCACAUCUCCCCCCCCACACACAUGCAUAAAGGAGUCUAGAGUUCUCCCUUGGGAGGUUUUUAUUCACAUGAUGGCCUGUGAUCACCAUCAGCUGCAGCAUAUGGAAAUUCCCAGGCUACGGUUCAAAUUGGAGCUGUACUUGCUGGCCUACACCACAGCCACACAGCAAUGCAGGAUCCGAGCCACAUCUGCGACCUAUACCACAGCUCACAGCAACGCUGGAUCCUUAAUGCAUCUGAGCAAGGCCAGGGAUCGAACCCGCUUCCUCAUGGAUACCAGUUUGAUGCGUUUCCCCCCGCGCUACAGUGGGAACUCCCAGCAGUGAAAUAUUGAUGCUAAGUGUUAAACCCAUCUUGCAGCUGAGGCAUUGGAGGCUGGAAGGGGGAAGGGCUUUGCCUCGCCUCACGCAGCUGGGACCUAUGGGUAGACUCCAGAUUGAGGCCGUAGCUCCUGACCGUGAAGCCAUCUUGUUACUCGGUCCAAAAUUAGGGGUGCGUGUUGUUUCAGAGGACUGGCCUGUCUUUUUCAAGGACUAAGCCAAAGGCGUGUCAUCCCAGAGGCUGGCGUGUUUCUCUGACCGUGACGUGAGGGGCCCUGUGGGUCCCUGGGAAGGGGCGUCCUGGGCAGUGUUGUACCCCAACAGAGCUGAGGAACCUCACCGCCCCAAGAGGUGUUGCUCCCAGGUCCCUUUUCAAGUGGAAUGUAGUGUAUUUACUGUUGCACUGAAGAUGCCUCUUUGACCUUUCUUGUCAUAGGCUCCGGAAGGAUUCUUUAUCAGAAAAUAAAUUAUUCAUCCUUCUUCUAGACAUCAUCGGCUGCUAAAAUAUUCUGAGUUUUCUCUGUCUCCAGAAUGCCUAAAACUUGUGAUGGGUGCUCCUCUAAGUUUUCCAUUUCAUUUCUUGUUCAGAGAAUUUUGCAUCGCCUUAGUCUUGUGUGUUACUCAUUGUCUUUGAUCACCAUCUCCGUGUCUUCCUUUUGUGUGUGUGUGUGUGUGUGUUUCACUCAGUCUUGAAUAUUUCAAAUUUUAAAUCCAUUAAAACCUUUGCCUAACAAGGGCCGAGAUUUACUGCAGAGUUUUGAAGAGUGAAAGUCUCGCGCAGACGGAGAGCUGCAAGACACGCCCAAUCAUGUGAAGCCCAGCACAGCUGCAUCCUUUCGUUACCAUGGGGCCCCCCGAGUUCUUGUUAAGCGAUUUUGACAUGGUUUGAAGAGAUGGAUUUCAUCUUUAGACGGUGUUCAGCCAGUGGCCGAAAGUCUGCUUCUGGCCUCUAUUUAGGCACCAUUAUUUAAGCAGAAAAAAGUACACUUGAGACCGCUUUCCCUAUUUACUGUGGGGCGUUUACAGAGAGGCUUGGACAAAGCAGGUGUUAGAUUAAACUGAGAGGAAAAGCAGUCCUUGUACCCAUAAAACCUUCUGUGCGAGGACAAGUGGCUGUCUGUAAGCGAGGCAGCUGGUCUCUGAACGGGGCAGCACACACCAUGGUAGGUUAUGUUGAGCAUGUCUUUAAAAUAGAGUAAGUUUUGGAGUUCCCGUCGUGGUUCCGUGGAAGCAAAUCUGACUAGUAUCCAUGAGGGCAGGUUUGAUCCCUGGCCUUGCUCUGUGGGUUAAGGAUCCAGUGUUGCCCUGAGCUGUGGUGUAGGUCUCAGACUCGGGGCUCCGAUCUGGCCUUGCUGUGGUGUAGGCCAGUGGCUACAGCUCUGAUUCGACCCCUAGCCUGGGAACUUCCAUAUGCCAUGGGUGUGGC
rnacentral:lncRNA from 1 species